CUCAGACAGAAUAGGACCUGCCCUGAAUAAGGUUCUCCUCUACUCUCAGCCCCCUCAUACAGAAUAGGACCUGCCCUGAAUGAGGUUCUCUACCCCCAGUCCCCUCAGACAGAAUAGGACCUGCCCUGAACGAGGUUCUCCUCUACCCCCAGUCCCCUCAGAAAGAAUAGGACCUGCCCUGAACGAGGUUCUCCUCUACCCCCAGUCCCCUCAGAAAGAAUAGGACCUGCCCUGAACGAGGUUCUCCUCUACCCCCAGUCCCCCUCAGAAAGAAUAGGACCUGCCCUGAACGAGGUUCUCCUCUACCCUCUGUCCCCUCAGAAAGAAUAGGACCUGCCCUGAAUGAGGUUCUCCUCUACCCUCAGUCCCCUCAGAAAGAAUAGGACCUGCCCUGAACGAGGUUCUCCUCUACCCUCUGUCCCCUCAGAAAGAAUAGGACCUGCCCUGAACGAGGUUCUCCUCUACCCUCUGUCCCCUCAGAAAGACUAGGACCUGCCCUGAACGAGGUUCUCCUCUACCCUCAGACAGAAUAGGACCUGCCCUGAAUAAGGUUCUCCUCUACCCCCAGUCCCCUCAGAAAGAACAGGACCUGCCCUGAACGAGGUUCUCCUCUACCCCCAGUCCCCUCAGACAGAAUAGGACCUGCCCUGAACGAGGUUCUCCUCUACCCUCAGUCCCCUCAGACAGAACAGGACCUGCCCUGAAUGAGGUUCUCUACCCUCUGUCCCCUCAGAAAGACUAGGACCUGCCCUGAAUGAGGUUCUCUACCCCCAGUCCCCUCAGAAAGAAUAGGACCUGGUUUGUGAUCUAAAAAAAAUCAGACAAUAUCAGGAACUGCAUCUCAGCUGUACUUACUGUCUGUUGGUGGGGGGCGCUUAACAGAAGGUCCACUAUAGGGCCCUGGGCAACAUGUGCACUAUAUAGGGAAUGAGGGGGGGGUGUGACUGAGUGAAGUCAUCCACUCUGCCCUCAGUCCCCUCAGGGGGGGGUGUGACUGAGUGAAGUCAUCCACUCUGCCCUCAGUCCCCUCAGGGGGGGGGGGUGUGACUGAGUGAAGUCAUCCACUCUGCCCUCAGUCCCCUCAG
ensembl:lncRNA